UUACGGCCAUAUCACGUUGAAACACCGGUUCCCGUACGAUCACCGAAGUUAAGCCACAACGUCGAGCCUGAUCUAUAUCUCGAUGAGUGACCGCUUGGGAAUACCAUGUUCUGUAA